rnacentral:rRNA from 1 species
UACGUAGGGUGCAAGCGUUGUCCGGAAUUAUUGGGCGUAAAGAGCUCGUAGGCGGUUUGUUACGUCGGCUGUGAAAACCUGGGGCUCAACCCCGGGCCGGCAGCCGAUACGGGCAGACUAGAGUUCGGUAGGGAGACUGGAAUUCCUGGUGUAGCGGUGAAAUGCGCAGAUAUCAGGAGGAACACCAAUGGCGAAGGCAGCCUCCUGGCCUAAUACUGACGCUCAUGCACGAAAGCGUGAGGAGCAAACAGG